rnacentral:misc_RNA from 1 species
GAUGAAGAACGUAGCGAAAUGCGAUAAGUAAUGUGAAUUGCAGAAUUCAGUGAAUCAUCGAAUCUUUGAACGCACCUUGCGCCCUUUGGCUAUUCUGAAGGGCAUGCCUGUUUGAGUAUCAUGAACACCUCAACUCUCAUGGUUUGCCUUGAUGAGCUUGGACUUUGGGGGUCUUGCUGGCCUACGGUCAGCUCCUCUCAAAUGAAUCAGCUUGCCAGUGUUUGGUAGAGUCGCAGGUGUGAUAACUAUCUACGCUUGUGGUUUUCUGCCAGAUAACCUUCAGUGAUGGAGGUUCGCUGGAGCUUAUAAAUGUCUCUCCCCAGUGAGGACAGCUUUUUGAACGUUUGAUCUCAAAUCAGGCAGGACUACCCGCUGAACUUAAGCAUAUCAAUAAGCGGAGGA